ACUAGGUAUCGUGAGCACACCAGCUGGUUGACUUGUGGUCUGUGGGUCAGGCGUUGUAAACGCCCUCAGGGUCAGGCAGUCACAUUGCUUGAAGCUGAAUGGGUGAGGCAACACAGAGAGUGCAAAGAAGGCAAAGUACCACCUCUUCCCCGACCCAGGUCACUUCUGGGUUAUAGCUGAGACUCCGGACAGCAUGCAACCAGCUGGUUAGAGCUUCAGGGAAAACUUGAUGUCUGCAUGUUGCUAUGAAAUGUGAUUCGGUACAUCUGGAGAAAAUUUAUAAUGCUGGCUCAGUCAAGCACUGAACAAAGGAGCCCGAAGUCAGGCGCCCACUUGUCUUCUCGCAGGAUUGCCAUAGACUUUUUCUGUGUGCCCACCAUUCCAGACUGAAGUAGAGAUGGCAGUGGCAGAGACUGGGAAGGCUGCAACGAAAACAGGAAGUUAUUGCACCCUGGGAAUAGUCUGGAAAUGAAGCUUCAAAACUUGCUUCAUGUUCAGUUGUACACAGACUCACUCCCAGGUUGACUCACACGUGUAAAUAUUCCUGACUAUGUCUGCACUGCUUUUAUCUGAUGCUUCCUUCCCAAAAUGCCAAGUGUACAAGAAGGUCUGAGCAGAGUUGGGGCACGCUCAUGUCCUGAUACACUCCUUGUCUUCCUGAAGAUCUAACUUCUGACCCAGAAAGAUGGCUAAGGUGGUGAAGUGUUUGACAUGAAGACUUGGUCUUAAGAACUGGAGCAGGGGAAAAAAGUCGGAUGUG
rnacentral:lncRNA from 1 species